GUACUACUGACGAGUCCCAUACUAAGACGAAACGGCCGUGCAGUGC
rfam:Schistosoma haematobium scaffold404_12, whole genome shotgun sequence.